CGGACGGGUGAGUAAUGUCUGGGAAACUGCCUGAUGAGGGGGAUAACUACUGAAACGGUAGCUAAUACCGCAUAACGUCGCAAGACCAAAGAGGGGGACCUUCGGGCCUCUUGCCAUCGGAUGUGCCCAGAUGGGAUUAGCUAGUAGGUGGGGUAAAGGCUCACCUAGGCGACGAUCCCUAGCUGGUCUGAGAGGAUGACCAGCCACACUGGAACUGAGACACGGUCCAG
rnacentral:rRNA from 1 species